CACAAUGUGGUUUUCAGUUACCUACCUGCUUGUUACCAACCUGCAAUUUUGGACUCUCUGCCAACAGAAGCUCAAAACGGAUGGGGAUGCCAGUUAGCUCCAUAUCAUCCUGCUCGCAGCUAUUUCCUCUGGUGAAGGAGACUUGAUGAAAACUGACUUAAUUGGACUGUAGGGAAGUAAUUUCCAUGAUGACAUACAGUCGUCA